rnacentral:rRNA from 1 species
GACGAACGCUGGCGGCGUGCCUAAUACAUGCAAGUCGAGCGAGUCUGCCUUGAAGAUCGGAGUGCUUGCACCCUGUGAAACAAGAUACAGGCUAGCGGCGGACGGGUGAGUAACACGUGGGUAACCUGCCCAAGAGAUCGGGAUAACACCUGGAAACAGAUGCUAAUACCGGAUAACAACAGAUGAUGCCUAUCAACUGUUUAAAAGAUGGUUCUACUAUCACUCUUGGAUGGACCUGCGGUGCAUUAGCUAGUUGGUAGGGUAACGGCCUACCAAGGCGAUGAUGCAUAGACGAGUUGAGAGACUGAUCGGCCACAUUGGGACUGAGACACGGCCCAAACUCCUACGGGAGGCAGCAGUAGGGAAUCUUCCACAAUGGACGCAAGUCUGAUGGAGCAACGCCGCGUGAGUGAAGAAGGGUUUCGGCUCGUAAAGCUCUGUUGUUGGUGAAGAAGGACAGGGGUAGUAACUGACCUUUGUUUGACGGUAAUCAAUUAGAAAGUCACGGCUAACUACGUG